GCUCUGAACUGUCAGCACAGAGCCUAAUGUGGCACUCAAACCCACGAUCAUGACCUGAGCCAAAGCUGGACGCUCAACCGACUGAGCCACCCAGGCGCCCCUCAACCUAGUUACUUCAAGACUCAUCCGUGUUGUGUAUAUCUCAAUGGUUCAUUCCCUUUGGCUGCUAAGUAGUAUUCCAUUGCAUAGAUAUCCUACAAUUUGUUAUACACUCACCUACUGGCAGAUAUUUGAGUUGUUUCCAUUUUUGGCUAUUAUAAGUAAAAAUGCUAUGGAUACUCAUGUAAAAUCCUUUCUUUGCUUUCAAUUGGGGGUGAGGGUGGCAAAUAAUUAUCAAUGGAAUGGCUAGAUCAUAUUAUAAAUGUGUGUUUUACUUUUCAGGAAACCGCCAGACUGCUUCUCAAAGUGGUUAUACCAUUUUACAUACCCGGUAGCAAGAACAGCUUGCUUUUAUAUUUUUCAAAACUAUUUAAGAUUUUCAUUAAGUGAAACUCAUCUCCACCCCCCGAAAUAAGUUCCCAGAAUCUAAUGAGGUGACACUAACAGGACAAGUAGUUUGCUCUGGUUCCACACAUUUUGAGAGAGGUGGGAAGACUGUCAACAAAAUGUUUCUGUUCAUUUAACUCACAAAUGUGAGACAGUUCACGGGUAGAGUGGAAAGCAGAGUUAAACAUGAGCUUCCCAACAGAAUGAUUAUACUUGACAAGACUAAUCCACCUGACAGUUGACAUAAGACCAUUUAAUGAAAGCAGCCCCGGGGCGGCUCCAGACAGGACAGAUUUAAUGGGAUGAACAAGAAGUCUCACAAAAUGCAGGUAAGAAAUAGCCUCAGAUAGCACAGCCGUUAAAAAAAAAAAAAAAAAGGA